CAUGUCUAAGUAUAAGCAAUUAUACAGCGAAACUGCGAAUGGCUCAUUAUAUAAGUUAUCGUUUAUUUGAUAGUACCUUACUACUUGGAUAACCGUGGUAAUUCUAGAGCUAAUACAUGCUAAAAAUCCCGACUUCGGAAGGGAUGUAUUUAUUAGAUUAAAAACCAAUGCCCUCUGGGCUCUCUGGUGAUUCAUGAUAACUUCUCGAAUCGCAUGGCCUUGCGCCGGCGAUGGUUCAUUCAAAUUUCUUCCCUAUCAACUUUCGAUGUUUGGGUAGUGGCCAAACAUGGUUGCAGCGGGUAACGGAGGGUUAGGGCUCGACCCCGGAGAAGGAGCCUGAGAAACGGCUACUACAUCCAAGGAAGGCAGCAGGCGCGCAAAUUACCCAAUCCCGACACGGGGAGGUAGUGACAAUAAAUACUGAUACAGGGCUCUUUUGGGUCUUGUAAUUGGAAUGAGUACAAUUUAAAUCCCUUAACGAGGAACAAUUGGAGGGCAAGUCUGGUGCCAGCAGCCGCGGUAAUUCCAGCUCCAAUAGCGUAUAUUAAAGUUGUUGUGGUUAAAAAGCUCGUAGUUGAACCUUGGGCCUGGCUGGCCGGUCCGCCUCACCGCGUGUACUGGUCCGGCCGGGCCUUUCCCUCUGUGGAACCCCAUGCCCUUCACUGGGUGUGGCGGGGAAACAGGACUUUUACUUUGAAAAAAUUAGAGUGCUCCAGGCAGGCCUAUGCUCGAAUACAUUAGCAUGGAAUAAUGAAAUAGGACGUGCGGUUCUAUUUUGUUGGUUUCUAGGACCGCCGUAAUGAUUAAUAGGGACAGUCGGGGGCAUCAGUAUUCAAUUGUCAGAGGUGAAAUUCUUGGAUUUAUUGAAGACUAACUACUGCGAAAGCAUUUGCCAAGGAUGUUUUCAUUAAUCAGGAACGAAAGUUAGGGGAUCGAAGACGAUCAGAUACCGUCGUAGUCUUAACCAUAAACUAUGCCGACUAGGGAUCGGACGAUGUUAUUUUUUGACUCGUUCGGCACCUUACGAGAAAUCAAAGUGCUUGGGCUCCAGGGGGAG
rnacentral:rRNA from 1 species